GAUUCCCCUAGUAGCUGCGAGCGAACAGGGAAGAGCCCAGCACUGAAUCCCGCGUUUAACGUUAGGCGCCGGGAGAUGUGGUGUUCGGGAGGGUCUGUUAUCUCGAGAUCCGGCGACGCGUCCAAGUCCUUCUUGAACGGGGCCACAGCCCAUAGAGGGUGCCAGGCCCGUAGUGACCGUUUCCGAUCUCGAGAGGACCUCUCCUUAGAGUCGGGUUGCUUGAGAGUGCAGCCCUAAGUGGGUGGUAAACUCCAUCUAAGGCUAAAUAUGACCACGAGACCGAUAGCGAACAAGUACCGUGAGGGAAAGUUGAAAAGCACUUUGAAGAGAGAGUUCAAGAGUACGUGAAACCGUUUAGGGGUAAACCUGAGAAACCCGAAAGGUCGAAGGGAGAAAUUCAUUCGCGUUUCGUCAUCGGCGUUCGGCGAUCGAGUGACGGGGGACGUUCGCGUUCUCCGCGCCUUUCGUUGUCCGAUCCGGAGACGAACGCGUGCACUUUUCUCCUGGUAGGACGUCGCGAUCCGUCGAGUGUCGGUCUAAGGCUCGCGGUGGAGCCCGUAGAUGUCGUCUCACGACGAUAUUUGCGGACCCGCGUGUUCCCGGCCGACUCGCUCGACGGUAUACGAAAGGUUUAAGGCCGCUCCUUAGAGCGUUCGACUCGCAGCAAGCGCGUCAGAUGUCGUCGGUGAUCGGACCUAGUGCCGGUCCCGACCUCUGGCGACUGUUGGCCGCGAAGUUCUCGAACAGACCUUAUCAAAACCGAUCUGCGAC
rnacentral:rRNA from 1 species